rnacentral:rRNA from 1 species
UGAGGAAUAUUGGACAAUGGGCGAGAGCCUGAUCCAGCCAUGCCGCGUGUAGGAAGACUGCCCUAUGGGUUGUAAACUACUUUUAUACGGGAAGAAACACUCCUUCGUGCAAGGAGCUUGACGGUACCGUAAGAAUAAGCACCGGCUAACUCCGUGCCAGCAGCCGCGGUAAUACGGAGGGUGCAAGCGUUAUCCGGAAUCAUUGGGUUUAAAGGGUCCGUAGGCGGAUGAUUAAGUCAGAGGUGAAAGUCUGUAGCUCAACUAUAGAAUUGCCUUUGAUACUGGUUGUCUUGAAUUACUGUGAAGUGGUUAGAAUAAGUAGUGUAGCGGUGAAAUGCAUAGAUAUUACU